rnacentral:rRNA from 1 species
CCUACGUGCGUCUGCAGUGAGGAAUAUUGGUCAAUGGACGAGAGUCUGAACCAGCCAAGUAGCGUGAAGGAUGACUGCCCUAUGGGUUGUAAACUUCUUUUAUAUGGGAAUAAAAUGUUCCACGUGUGGGAUUUUGUAUGUACCAUAUGAAUAAGGAUCGGCUAACUCCGUGUCAGCAGCCGCGGUAAUACGGAGGAUCCGAGCGUUAUCCGGAUUUAUUGGGUUUAAAGGGAGCGUAGGUGGAUUGUUAAGUCAGUUGUGAAAGUUUGCGGCUCAACCGUAAAAUUGCAGUUGAAACUGGCAGUCUUGAGUACAGUAGAGGUGGGCGGAAUUCGUGGUGGAGCGGUGAAAUGCUUAGAUAUCACGAAGAACUCCGAUUGCGAAGGCAGCUCACUGGACUGCAACUGACACUGAGGCUCGAAAGUGUGGGUAUCAAACAGGAUUAGAUACCCCAGUAGUC